rnacentral:misc_RNA from 1 species
GAUGAAGAACGUAGCGAAAUGCGAUACUUGGUGUGAAUUGCAGAAUCCCGUGAACCAUCGAGUCUUUGAACGCAAGUUGCGCCCGAAGCCAUUAGGCCGAGGGCACGCCUGCCUGGGUGUCACACACCGUUACCCUCGCGCCAACGUCCAUCGUUGGCCGCGGCGCGGGGCGUGCGCUGACCUCCCGCGAGCGGGGUCUCGUGGUUGGUUGAAAAUCGAGUUCGCGGUCGAGGGUGCCGUGAUGAAAUGGUGGAUGGGCGACGCCCGAGGCCAAUCACGCGCGACUCUGUCAGGCUCGGGCUCCUGGACCCCUUCGGCGUCUCCGGACGCUCUUUGGCGAGACCUCAGGUCAGGCGGGGCUACCCGCUGAGUUUAAGCAUAUCAAUAAGCGGAGGA